rfam:Myotis lucifugus cont2.3536, whole genome shotgun sequence.
CUCGGGGGAGAGGGGGUCCCUCAGCCCUGAUUGCAAGAGGGCGCAGGCCAGGCCAAGGGACCCAACCAGUGCACG